rnacentral:rRNA from 1 species
UAGACUUAGGAGCUGGCAUCAGGCACAGAUUUCUAGCCCACAACGCCUAGUUUCACCACACCCCUAAGGGUACUCAGCAGUGAUAAAGAUUGAUCAUAAGCGUAAGCUUGACUCAGUUAAAGAAAAUGAGAGCCGGCCAAUCUGGUGCCAGCCGCCGCGGCUACACCAGGAGGCUCAAGUUGAUAGUCACCGGCGUUAAGCGUGAUUAAAGAAUGACUUGAUUAGAGAUAAAUUUUAAUCCAUAGUAGUAAUAAGCCUAUUAUUUAGAAAGACAAAAACGAAAGUUACUCUAACAAUACUUGAAUACACGACAGCUAGGAAACAAACUGGGAUUAGAUACCCCACUAUGCCUUGCCGUAAACUAUUAACUUACAACAACCAACGCCAGGGUCUUACGAGCUUAAGCUUAAAACCCAAAGGACUUGACGGUGUCCCACCCACCUAGAGGAGCCUGUUCUAUAAUCGACACUCCCCGCUUCACCUCACCAUUUUUAGCCUCUCAGCCUGUAUACCUCCGUCGUAAGCUUACCCUAUGAAUGUAUUAGUAAGCCCAAAGGUCCACCCACCAAUACGUCAGGUCAAGGUGCAGCUCAUAAAAUGGAAAGCAAUGGGCUACAAUUUCUAACCUAGAACAAACGAAAAAA